rnacentral:rRNA from 1 species
AUGUCUGGCAAGCUAUCUAAAAAAAGGCAUCGAGCGCUCCAGAAUUUUCCUCGAGAAGCUGUUGGCAGGGAUUUGGAAAUCAUACUUCGAAUUAGAAGAGAUGUGAAGUCCGUGGAGAAGUGGAGCUCCUUCCUUAACCGAUGCGGCGCUGUGCGCGGCCUCCGGGCUCUGGUGCAUAGUCUACCUCCGCCCUGCGUCUUGCUAGUGCCGCCGGCCGGCUGGUCGCGGGUCGCCGGCUCACUGGGUGGUCCAUGGACCACCCUGGCCACCCCCUGUGGCUACGCCACUAACUCCACAGCCACUCCACUCUCUGAACGUCAUCCACUCCCCUGCCCGUGUCGCCCUCCUCUUCCCCGCAUCGCCGCCGGCCGCCGGCCUCCACCCUCACCCUUGCUGGUCGCCGGCCUCCGCCCUCACCCCCACAGCUGCCGGCCUCCACCCUCACCUCCCACUGCUGCGCCCUCUCAUCCCCUCCGCUGUUCUCAUCAGAAAAGAGAAGUGGCAGAUCGAGAGAUCAGGCAGCGGCCAGUCCACUCCUCUCCCUCGGCCGCGGAGUUUCUCCCGACGGGCCACCCGGACCCGUCCGUCCUCGAGCGUCUCCUCCGCCUGCUCGCCUCCCGCGGCUUCUUCUCCGAGCACACAGCCGACGGCAAUCGGAGGCGGUACACGCUGACCGCCCUGAGCACUUCGUGCGCGCCCACGCCGGCGUCCCCGCCCACACCUACUACGGCCAGUCCACGCCGACGGCGAUCAGAUGCAAGCACAACCGGCUCCCUCUCUCCCACCGCCGCCCCCUCCCAUCCCCUUCCUCCACUCAUCCGACGACGUGGACUGGGAUUACAGACUGACACAGAAGCAAAGUGUUUCAAGGCACAUAAAUCCAAUGAUGAGAGUGGUAGUUUCAGAAAAGAUGAUGAAGCUGAUUCAAGAAAUACUACUAAGGCUGUUGAUCAAAAUCCUCCACCACCAAAGCAAGGUUUCAUCCAUGUGAGGGCAAGAAGGGGUCAAGCAACUGACAGCCAUAGCCUUGCAGAAAGGGUCAGUUCAAUGCACAAUUUCCAGUUUUGA